AGGANGNUCUUGGGUUGUAAACCUCUUUUCUCAAGGAAGAAAAAAAUGACGGUACUUGAGGAAUAAGCAUCGGCUAACUCCGUGCCAGCAGCCGCGGUAAUACGGAGGAUGCAAGCGUUAUCCGGAAUGAUUGGGCGUAAAGGGUCCGCAGGUGGCUGUGUAAGUCUGCUGUUAAAGAAUGAGGCUCAACCUCAUCAAAGCAGUGGAAACUACAGGGCUAGAGUGCGUUCGGGGUAGAGGGAAUUCCUGGUGUAGCGGUGAAAUGCGUAGAUAUCAGGAAGAACACCAGUGGCGAAAGCGCUCUACUAGGCCGCAACUGACACUGAGGGACGAAAGCUAGGGGAGCGAAUGGGAUUAGAUACCCCNGUAGUCA
rnacentral:rRNA from 1 species